UACGUAGGGGCAAGCGUUGUCCGGAUUCAUUGGGCGUAAAGAGCGUGUAGGCGGCCAGGUAGGUCGGUUGUGAAAACUGGAGGCUCAACCUUCGAGAGGUCGACCGAAACCAUCUGGCUAGAGUCCGGGAGAGGAGAGUGGAAUUCCUGGAUGUGAGCGGUGAAAUGCGCAGAUAUCAGGAAGAACACCCGUGGCGAAAGCGGCUCUCUGGAACGGUACUGACGCUGAGACGCGAAGCGUGGGAGCAAACAGGAUAGA
rnacentral:rRNA from 1 species